GAAACUCCUCACGCCCGUGAGGUGGAACAGGUGUAAUGGGGGACACCUGUUCAUAAAAAAAGCGGCC
rnacentral:ncRNA from 2 species